CCCAGGCUUGGUGUGUUCAGACCCAGCUUGGUGUGUUCAGACCCAGGCUUGGUGUGUUCAGACCCAGGCUUGGUGUGUUCAGACCCAGGCUUGGUGUGUUCAGACCCAGGCUUGGUGUGUUCAGACCCAGGCUUGGUGUGUUCAGACCCAGGCUUGGUGUGUUCAGACCCAGGCUUGGUGUGUUCAGACCCAGGUUUGGUGUGUUCAGACCCAGGUUUGGUGUGUUCAGAUCUAGGUUUGGUGUGUUCAGACCCAGGCUUGGUGUGUUCAGACCCAGGUUUGGUGUGUUCAGACCCAGGUUUGGUGUGUUCAGAUCUAGGUUUGGUGUGUUCAGACCCAGGCUUGGUGUGUUCAGACCCAGGCUUGGUGUGUUCAGACCCAGGCUUGGUGUGUUCAGACCCAGGCACGCAAAGUGGUGGAGCUGUCAGCAGGGGAGAGGAGGGUGUUGCUGGAGCUGUCAGCGAGGGAGAGGAGGGUGUGAGAGUGGGGAGCCGUCAGCGAGGGAGAGGACGGUGUGAGAGCGGGGAGUCGUGCCUUAACUCUUCCUGUGCUACAACCAUAUUAGGUUAAGUCUUGUAAUUACUACAAAACAUUUUCAUUAUAUUUAAGGAAAUUUAGAAUAAACAUUUGUCUUUCAA